CUGUGACAACAGCAUCUCACUAAAAAUAUUAGCAGGCUGUAGGAUGACGCAUGAUGCAAGUCUGAAGUUGUAUGUGGCCAUCUUUGCCACCACAUUCAGAAAGCUUACCUGAGAAUGAAGUCAACACUGGAGAGAAAGAGAAAGAAAGAGGGAGAACAUAUCAGGUAGAAUCUCUCCACAAUGGCAACAAAGAUGGUCACUAGCAAGUCCAAGCCUCCAUUCUCUUUAAAACU
rnacentral:lncRNA from 1 species